UGGGUAACACUAACUGGAGGACCGAACCGACUAAUGUUGAAAAAUUAGCGGAUGACCUGUGGCUGGGGGUGAAAGGCCAAUCAAACCGGGAGAUAGCUGGUUCUCCCCGAAAGCUAUUUAGGUAGCGCCUCGUGAAUUCAUCUCCGGGGGUAGAGCACUGUUUCGGCUAGGGGGCCAUCCCGGCUUACCAACCCGAUGCAAACUGCGAAUACCGGAGAAUGUUAUCACGGGAGACACACGGCGGGUGCUAACGUCCGUCGUGAAGAGGGAAACAACCCAGACCGCCAGCUAAGGUCCCAAAGUCAUGGUUAAGUGGGAAACGAUGUGGGAAGGCCCAGACAGCCAGGAUGUUGGCUUAGAAGCAGCCAUCAUUUAAAGAAAGCGUAAUAGCUCACUGGUCGAGUCGGCCUGCGCGGAAGAUGUAACGGGGCUAAACCAUGCACCGAAGCUGCGGCAGCGACGCUUAUGCGUUGUUGGGUAGGGGAGCGUUCUGUAAGCCUGUGAAGGUGGCCUGUGAGGGUUGCUGGAGGUAUCAGAAGUGCGAAUGCUGACAUAAGUAACGAUAAAGCGGGUGAAAAGCCCGCUCGCCGGAAGACCAAGGGUUCCUGUCCAACGUUAAUCGGGGCAGGGUGAGUCGACCCCUAAGGCGAGGCCGAAAGGCGUAGUCGAUG
rnacentral:rRNA from 1 species